UACGUAGGGUGCAAGCGUUAAUCGGAAUUACUGGGCGUAAAGCGUGCGCAGGCGGUUGUGCAAGACCGAUGUGAAAUCCCCGGGCUUAACCUGGGAAUGGCAUUGGUGACUGCACGGCUAGAGUGUGUCAGAGGGGGGUAGAAUUCCACGUGUAGCAGUGAAAUGCGUAGAUAUGCGGAGGAACACCGAUGGCGAAGGCCAAUCCCCUGGACCUGUACUGACGCUCAUGCACGAAAG
rnacentral:rRNA from 1 species